AAAAAAAAUCCUCUCCACUCUCAAGCUACUGUCUUUCUUCUUCUCUCUCACGCUGCACAUCUUCAAAAUCCUCUCCGGUCUCACACUGCAAAUAUUUGAUAUCAAUCAAGGGUAAAGUUGGAGAGUUAUUAAUGUUGCUUUGUAUCUAACUUCAGUUUGAUCUCCAACUGUUCCUGUUUUCCAGGAUGGUGCUGCCAAGAAAAUUGCCUUUCAGCUUCAGUGCCAGACAUGGAAACUUGAGAGAGCAUUGAAAAACUUUCUGUAUGAUCAAUUAGAUAUCUCGGAGGAAGUUCAAGAACAGGUAAGACCUAUCCCCAAAAAACUCAGAGGAGAAUAGAAAGCCCAGUUCUCCUGUAAUUCCUGAUGAUUUUUUAUUUCCUAUUCCCCUUGAAGCGCUGAGGGACCUUGUUAU